AAGGCUUUAUGUUAAUCAAACAAAUAGCCUUCAAAGCUAUCAAUAAGAGUUUAAUCUCUUAAGCCUUA
rnacentral:tRNA from 1 species